ensembl:lncRNA
AUGACUGAGCCAUCCAGGGGUCUCUUUUACCUUCCUAUCAUCUAUUUGUGGACAGGAGGGGUAGAGGGCGAUGUGCUGGCUUCACUGGCACCUCCAGUUCACCUGUCAGGGGAGAGGCUUGGUUGGACCCUGCUGGUGUGCAUUGUGAAUGACUUCAGGAGAGGGCACCUGGAGGUCAGCUGGAGCUCAGCGUCAGAGGGUCACAUGCCCACCACACCAUACAGCAUUGCUUUAACCAGGAAGCACCAUGUCCCCAAUGUGGUGGCUGUUAUCACUGUGACAACCAGAGACUGGCCAUCAUACAGUUGCUCAGUAAGUCGCAAGAGACACUCAAAAGGCAAGAGGAGACGCCGCAUCACCUCAUCAGAUCAUCAAGACAAACUGUGCCAUGAAGAAGAAAAAAUUAAAGGCAUCGAUGUGUGGACAAACACGGUGGUUAUCCUGGUUAUGAGGCUGCUUCUCAUGAAGAUCCUCGCCUUUGACACUCUGAUGACCAUUUAUGUUGUUAUUAAGUGGUAA